GAUGAAGAACGCAGCGAAAUGCGAUAAGUAAUGUGAAUUGCAGAAUUCAGUGAAUCAUCGAAUCUUUGAACGCACAUUGCGCCCCCUGGUAUCCCGGGGGGCAUGCCUGUUCGAGCGUCAUUUCACCACUCAAGCCUCGCUUGGUAUUGGGCAACGCGGUCCGCCGCGUGCCUCAAAUCGACCGGCUGGGUCUUCUGUCCCCUAAGCGUUGUGGAAACUAUUCGCUAAAGGGUGUUCGGGAGGCUACGCCGUAAAACAACCCCAUUUCUAAGGUUGACCUCGGAUCAGGUAGGGAUACCCGCUGAACUUAAGCAUAUCAAUAAGCGGAGGA
rnacentral:misc_RNA from 1 species